GCCCAAUGAUGAGACCAAGGCGAAUACGAGCUUACUGAAUGAGAGUUGGGUUCUUCUUGCCUUGAUUGGCAGGUAAUCUUGGUGGUGUAGAGGAGGAUUUCUGCUCCGCUGUAAGGGCCUGCCUACAGUGACUUGGCUCAAUCCAAAUUAUUCUGCUACAGUCAAAGCAGAGUAAUUGCUGGGAUGAAGCUGACAGUGUGUGUGUGUGUGUACGUGUGUAAAAGGCAAGGAGUUCACCCAGCUCUCUUUGCUCUUCAGUCAGCAAUGAGUUGUGUCUUUGGUAAUCUGAGGGCC